rnacentral:rRNA from 1 species
GACGAACGCUGGCGGCGUGCCUAAUACAUGCAAGUAGGACGCAGUUUCGAAUGGGUGAGUGACGCGUAGGUGACUGCCUCUUAGAGUGCGAUAACUAUUGGAAACGAUAGCUGAUACCGCAUACUCGUAGAUGGACCUGCUUUGUAUUAGUUAGUAGGUAGGGUAAUGGGCUCCCUAGGCGACGAUACAUAGCCGACCUGGGAGGGUGAUCGGACACAAUGGGACUGGGGAACGGGCCAGAAUCCUACGGGAGGCAGCAGUAGGGGAACUUCGGCAAUGGGGGGAAGCCUGACGGAGCAACGGCGGGGGGGUGGAAAAAGUUUUCGGGUCGUAAAGAUCUGGUUUUAAGGAAGCGGUACUUAACCAGAAAGGAACGGCUAACUACGUGCCAGCAGCCGCGGUAAUAC